UGGUGGCUCUUACGUGGUAUUGUACUGGAAGGAAGAGUUAAGCCUUGGAUUCCCCAAGCUGUUGAAAGGAUCCAGUCUUCCCCAGUGCUGUUGCCAUCUUCCAGGGAAGUGUCUUUGACUUUGGUCUUGAAGAGAGUUUUAUCCCCCCAUGUCACAGGAUCCUAAUGUUGGGACCUCAGGUAUUAUACCCUUCACGAAAAUUAACUCGAAAUGGAUCAUAGACCUAUAUGUAAAAUGCAAAACUGUGAAACUCGUAGAAGAUCAAGUAAGAGAAAACCUAGAUGACCUUGGGUAUGGUGAUGACUUUAAAGAUAUAACACCAAAGGCGUGAUCCGUGAAAGAAAAAAUUGAUCAGCUGGACUUCAUUAAAAUUAGAGACUUCUUCUCUGGGAUUGAAAACUUACGUCCACUCAAAAAUCUGCACAUAAAUGUUUAUUAGCAGCUUUAUUCAUAAUUGCCAAAACUUGGAAGCAAGCAAGUUGCCCUUCAGUAGUGAAUGGAUAAAUAAACUGUGGUACAUCUAGGCAAUGGAAUAUUACUCAGCACUAAAAAGAAAUGAGCUAUCACGCAGUGAGAAGUCAUGGAGGAACCUUAAAUGCAUAUCACUAAAUGAAAGAAGACAUCUGCAAAGGCUACACACUGUGUGAUUCCAACUAUGUGACGUUCUGGAAAAGGCAACACUCUCGAGACAGGAAAAAGUGAUUACAGGUCUGGAAGUCAAGUGACUUGCUCCAAUCAUAGGAAGCAGUAGAGGUGGG
rnacentral:lncRNA from 1 species